GGUUUCUCAAGACCCUCAGGCUGAUAGCCUGCUGAAUCUCCGCGGACAAUUCCAUAAUUGGAUUUAGACAAGACUGCCUCGAUCUUGACAUUCUUGUGACCUGUCAGGACUGCACUGAAGAAGUAUCGCCCCUUCACAGCAUACAUACCUGUCUUUGGAUCGUAGGCCUUUCUUUCAUUGACAAAGAUCUUGUUGAAGAUAAUAGUGCCUGCAUUGGGUUGCGGUCGUGUGAGUGCUGCUGAGAAUGACAGUCUUGGGACAUUUGCAUCCUCUCCAGGAGGUCCUGGUCCUUGAGGCCCAGCUGGUCCUUUGGAUCCUUUCUCUCCCUGAGGACCAGGUGGUCCAGGAGGUCCUGAGGAUUGGCCAAAAAGAAAUUGCUUGGUUUUUCACAUUAAAAACAAAAAACAAAAAAACUAAUAGUUGAGAUAUAUACUGUAUCCAAUUGCUCU